GGAGUUAGCCGGUGCUUCUUCUGUGAGUGAUGUCCUUCCUGCCGGCUAUUAACCCGCAGGCCUUCUUCCUCACUGAAAGUGCUUUACAACCCGAAGGCCUUCUUCACACACGCGGCAUGGCUGGAUCAGGGUUGCCCCCAUUGUCCAAUAUUCCCCACUGCUGCCUCCCGUAGGAGUCUGGGCCGUGUCUCAGUCCCAGUGUGGCUGAUCAUCCUCUCAGACCAGCUACGGAUCGUCGCCUUGGUGAGCCGUUACCUCACCAACCAGCUAAUCCGACAUAGGCUCAUCCGAUAGCGCGAGGCCCGAAGGUCCCCCGCUUUCCCCCGUAGGGCGUAUGCGGUAUUAGCCUGGGUUUCCCCAGGUUAUCCCCCACUACCGGGCAGAUUCCUAUGCAUUACUCACCCGUCCGCCGCUCGCCACCAGGGAGCAAGCUCCCCGUGCUGCCGCUCGACUUGCAUGUGUUAGGCCUGCCGCCAGCGUUCAAUCUGAGCAGAANACAACUACUGA
rnacentral:rRNA from 1 species